ensembl:lncRNA
CCCUCUAAUCCUUCAUUUGAUACCCCCCCCAUAAUUUAGUUCUGGUCCACCAAUACAGGUGUGAGAGGAGGAGGACCUAGAGUGAAACAUCCCAAUUUGCCUUCCAAAAGUCUUUAUGAAAAAUGAACAUCUGUCUUUGAAUAAUCUUCAAAUAACUUUAAAUAAAAAAUUAUAUACCAGCCUUACAAAACAUUUGUAUCAUUGCCACACACACACACACUCCAAAUCCCUCACCGACCUAUGUUUCAACAUAAAGUAAUAAUAAAUUACAUGUGCAACUUGCAGACAUGUACAAUAUGACAACGUCAUGACGACAACAGUAUAAAACAAGUGUUUUCCAUUGAGCUGGCAGAAUAAGAACUGUAAGUCUGUAAAAGCAAUGCAAGUCAAUUGUAACUCAGCUUGUUUACGUGCAUAGCGGUCACAUUCAUGGACAUUUCAUUAUACACGUGAAACAAUUACAAUCUGAAACUCGGACGGUAAUUGUAGCAACUACACAGAUAAUUCUAAGUCCAACAUUAAAUUUAUUUUGGUUUCACAAACAAAAAAAAGGGGAUUUAGAUAAAAGUGGAUCCAUGGGAACACAAUAGCAUAGAGGCAUUACUACACCAAACACCUACACGCAAACGGCCAAAAAUGAAAGGAAACACUCGAGUAAAUGAGGGAUAGAAAGUAUACUGGUGCUUCCACACAGCUGUGGUUUUCUGAGUUAAUUGUAAUAGUAGAAUGCACAAGGUGCCAUUUGGAAGUUGGGUAGUGCAUCGUCAGUUUUCCUCUUGUCAUGUCAGUCAAUGCAUACCUUAGAGCAGCGUUUCCCCAUCAUGCUUAGGGUUAUGUAUAAAAAUGGGGGGAGGGGGGCAGGGUGUUGAAAGAGGGGGUCUCCAAGGAGAACAGGGGGUCUCCAAGGAGAACACGGGGUUGAAAGAGGGGGUCUCCAAGGAGAACAGGGGUUGAAAGAGGGGGAGAACAGGGGUCUCCAAGGAGAACAGGGGGUUGAAAGAGGGGGUCUCCAAGGAGAACAGGGGUUGAAAGAGGGGGUCUACUAGGAGAACAGGGG